CCACCAGCAAUGCAAGAGAUCCUCUUUCUCCGCAUCCUCGCCAGCAUCUGUUGUGGCCUGAGUUGUUAAUGUUAGCCAUUCUGACAGGUGUUAGGUGGUAUCCCAUUGCUGUUUUGAUUUGUAUUUCUC